rnacentral:rRNA from 1 species
AGUGAACGCUGGCGGCGUGCUUAACACAUGCAAGUCGAACGAGAACGGAUUAUAGCUUGCUAUAAUUGUCAGCUAAGUGGCGCACGGGUGAGUAAUGUAUAGGUAAUAUGCCUCUUACUAAGGGAUAACAAAUGGAAACGUUUGCUAAUACCUUAUACUCCUUAUUAACAGAAGUUAAUAAGGGAAAGAUUUAUUGGUAAGAGAUUAGCCUGUAUUGUAUCAGUUAGUUGGUGGGGUAAUGGCUUACCAAGACUAUGACACAUAACUAGUUUGAGAGGAUGAUCAGUCACACUGGAACUGGGACACGGUCCAGACUCCUACGGGAGGCAGCAGUGGGGAAUAUUGCACAAUGGACGGAAGUCUGAUGCAGCAACGCCGCGUGGAGGAUGACACAUUUCGGUGCGUAAACUCCUUUUAUAUGAGAAGAUAAUGACGGUAUUAUAUGAAUAAGCACCGGCUAACUCCGUGCCAGCCGCCGCAGUAA